UUUUGAAUCACCUGGGGAUCUUAUUAAAAUGCAGGUCUGAUUCUGUGGGUCUAGGAUAAGGUUCUACAUUUCUAAUAAGAUCCCAAGUGAUUCUGAU
rnacentral:pre_miRNA from 1 species